UGUAACGUGUCUUCUUCUGGUAAAAUUAGUAUGCAUGCCUUUCUCCUAAUUCAUCAUUUAUGAUGAUUCACUGUUUGCACAUCAAAGUUCCCUCUCUUCAUCGUUCUCCAGAUUGAAGUUAAGGGAAACUACAAUUACCUUUAUCGGAAUUUCAGCUACCGCUUCUUUGUUCUCGCUUUGUGUUCAUGUGAUUGUAUAAGAGUUAUAAUUACGAGCUUUUUCCAGUUACGCAAAAUGGAAAUCCGGUCUAAGUAGGAUCCUGUCAUUACUCCUAUUACUCCUGCAAACAAUCGGUGCACCAUCAUCACCUGCUCCAAUGGAUACAGCAGGAAGCAACAAAAGGAAGAUAGGAAAUCCUAUCACAAACAAAAAAGACAAGCAAGAGGUCACUUCUUAUCACAAGCAUGCUCUAGAGGUGAAGACUUCCCCUCCAAAACACAAUAACAAGGUCAGUGAAAAAUAAUGUCAUCUACACUUCGCAAUGUGAUAAGAGCCAUUUUUUGUUGAUGUAGCAAGCAUAAUCAUAACGGAUCACUUUCAUUUUUCCUAUGUAAAUAAAAUGUGAUGUUAUAAAACUUAGGCUCCAACAUUAACAUAUAAUUUUUGUCGGGUCACACUUGGACUUAAUAUGCAAUAGUCAUAUAUGUAUCCCACUUGAAA